rnacentral:lncRNA from 1 species
UGAAAACAUACAUCUUGUCUACAACAAUUACUUGACCAGCUAGCAAGCACCACAGUGCUUCAGUGUGACAACUGAAACCCAGCAAGAUCUGGAAGAAGAUGGUGCUCACAGAGGCAAGAUGAGACCAGUAAGCUGUGUGAGGAAAUGAUUUGCAACCUAAGGAGAGGGAAGCUCAAUGACUUUGCUACAGCAUCUUUCCCAGUGUAAGGAGGCCUUCUGGUGGUCAAAACAGUGAAUACUUCUUCCAGAGAGCAUUACUCAUCCAAAUGCAAUAGAAGAGCAACUCCAUGCUCCCAGCUUUAUUCACAAUUCCAUGUGAAAACCACCCUUUCAAGCGUGCAUUUCCCACUGGAGGGAGAAGAGGGGAAAGGCAACACAGAGGAGGAGCAACACACUGAAGAUGGGGCCUGCAUGUCAACAGUUGAAAAGAAAAUGCAGUUUUACUUCUGCAAAGUGUCUGAAAAUCAGCAAGAUCUCUUGGGCUGAGGUGGUGAGAGACGUGGAGUAAGUUUUACAGAAGCUUCAGAGACCUGGUGCAAUUUCUCUUUACUGGUUGAACUGCUAAGGAGACUGCCCAGAAAGCAGUGCAUACAAACUCAUUCCCUUCUUCCAGAAGGCAAUUCAACUCCCUCAGAACACCUCCAUGAACUGCUAUGUUUGAUGGCUGAUAAUUCUAAGCAUUUAUCAUUUUAGCUGUUUCACUUUGCCCGGAUUCUUUAAA